AUGCUCACCAAAAUUUUCCCAAUGGAACCAAGCAAGUCCGCAAAGGCACAGGUGACAGGACCCUUGCUUCCACGAGUGCGUGCGUACAGCCGUCAAAGCUUGUCGGUCUCUCGGGCUCGCUCGCCCCCUGCCCCCGUCAAACAGAAACAGGCGUGCGCUCGCCCACCUAAUCCCAAAUCCAAACAAAUCCGGCUCCUCUCAAAUCCCCCGGUUCUCCAUCCGUCCAUCCCUCCCCCCUCCUCUCCUCUCCCCCGUCUUGUUUUACCGAGCGAUCCCCCCAGCGAGCUAAACCCUAGAUCCUCCGCCCAACCGCUAAAACCCUAG
rnacentral:rRNA from 1 species